GACGAACGCUGGCGGCGUGCUUAACACAUGCAAGUCGAACGGAAAGGCCCUGCUUUUGUGGGGUGCUCGAGUGGCGAAAGGGUGAGUAACACGUGAGUAACCUGCCAUUGACUUUGGGAUAACUUCAGGAAACUGGGGCUAAUACCGGAUAGGAGCUCCUGCUGCAUGGUGGGGGUUGGAAAGUUUCGGCGGUUGGGGAUGGACUCGCGGCUUAUCAGCUUGUUGGUGGGGUAGUGGCUUACCAAGGCUUUGACGGGUAGCCGGCCUGAGAGGGUGACCGGCCACAUUGGGACUGAGAUACGGCCCAGACUCCUACGGGAGGCAGCAGUGGGGAAUAUUGCACAAUGGGCGGAAGCCUGAUGCAGCAACGCCGCGUGCGGGAUGACGGCCUUCGGGUUGUAAACCGCUUUCGCCUGUGACGAAGCGUGAGUGACGGUAAUGGGUAAAGAAGCACCGGCUAACUACGUG
rnacentral:rRNA from 1 species